UAUACAGAGGUACAUGGAUAAUUAAAGAGAUGUCUCUCGUACUAAUAUCCUACGAUCCAUUCUCAACUUUAGAUAGUUUAAAUUUUUUAAUAACAAAUGUGAUUAAAAUAAAAUAGUUACUAUUAAAAUUAGAUAAAUUUAUUAAUAUAUUAUUUAAGUAGGUUCACUCUUACUCACUUUUCAAGUAGAAUUAGUUAGGUAGGUUCACUCUUACGUACUCUUCAAGUAGAAUUAGCUAAACGUUAUGGGUAAUAAACAAAAUUAUGUUAUAAUUAAAAUAUACUAUAAAUUUUAAUUAUAUUCAUAUACUUCUGUAUAAUAUAUUAUUUAAAAAAAGAAAAAUAAGUUGCCCAAAUAAUUUAUAAUAAUGACAAUUUUAGUAAUAUACGGUACCCAUUACUAAAUGUUAAACAUGUACAAACGUAAAACUAUUUUUUUAAGGUUAGUUUUUGUUGGUAUAGUCUACUUUUAAUAAUAAAUACAGUUUCAUUGUUAAAAGUUACACUAUAAAAAUGCAAAUUCUUUGUAAAUGUUCAACUUUUACUUAUGGAUCCAUUUCUGUUAAUACAAAUUCAACUAUACAAACAAUUUCAAUUGUAUACCUUUCAGCGUAAUUUUUUCAUUGGUAUAGAUCUAUUGCUCAUUAAAAUAUUUGUAGCCCAAUUUAUUUAAUCUAGCUAAAUGAUUAGCGUAUUAGCUCAUUUUAAAGACCCAAACCCUUUUCUUAAAAAAAAAAAAAAAAAACUUUGUCCUACUCUUGUUUGUAGCGUUCCUUCAUCAUCCCACAUGUUCUAACUUCUCAUUGUUCAACCAUGGCACAACUUCUCACCAUUCAUAAGAAGCUGCAACUUCCUUCAUCCUUCGCAGGCUACACUCUCAUCUCCAUCUUUCCUUCAUCAUCGGACCUCGUCUUACUUCAUUUCCCUUCUUCAUCUUAUGGUUCCUCAUACUUCAUUUUCCUUAUUCACCCCACGCCUCUUCUUGCUCUAUUUCCCUUCUUUAUCGCUGUGCCUCCUUCUUAUCAGUCAUCUAUCUCUAAGUUACUCUUUCAUUUCUUGCUUCCAUCUCCUUUCUUGGCCUCUAGGUUAUGGACGCACCUUUUCCUCCUUAAAGCAAAUAAGGAACAUUUGUUGAUUGUCACUUACUAGAUUUCACUCUAAUAUUUGCCAAUUUGAACCACUAUUCAAAACAUUAUCUCAACUCCUUCUUUCUCCCUUAUAAUCAUAGGCUCGAAUACUCGACCAUUUCGUUUGUUAAGCUCAUGAAGUCUAGAACUUGUUAGUUGAGAUUUAUUAGGUAAAAUCCCUCUUCUUCCAUUGCUUCAUUUAUGGGUUAGUUUUAUUUUCAUAUGUAUAAAGUUUUAUUUUCAUAUGUAUAUUCUGGAGCUUGAGGAACGAGAUAAAGAUGAGAAAUAAGGAAUCGAAGAGAGAGAUUGAGAAUAGAGUGUGUGUGUGUGUGAGAGAGAGAGAGAAGCUAGAUAAAGAGGAGACGUCCCAAGAAAGAUAUAAAGAAGAUAAAUAAAAAGGGCUUAGAAAUGCAAGAGAUAUUGCAGGAUAUAGGGGAGACAGAGAGGAGUAAAGAAGAAGAAGAUAAGGAGAGGAAUAAAGAAACACAUAUGGAGGAGAAUAAGGUGCUAUAUAUUUAUCAUAUUUUUUAUGCUCUUAUUACUUAUUUUUGUAAGAAAUUUGAAUGAAUUUUGAGUUAAAAAAUCAAUUUAUAAGCAAACUUUUGAUGCAUGUUACAUUGAUGAAGAAAAGAGGAGAAAAAAGUCUGAAGAGAAAAGAAGAGAUGAGGUAGAAGUCCAGGCCCAAAUCUGCAGUUAAACCUAACCCAUCAACACUCAAAACGAUGUUGUUUUGAAGCUGAGAAACAGAAGCCAAAAUGGCACCAUUUUGAAGAAAGAAAAAAAAUAUCAGGAUAAAACAGGCAUGUACGCCUCUGGAAGCCCGAAAGACACCAGAAAAGAAGAAGAAGAGACCCGCACGGGAUCGACCGAAGGAGGAAGAAGAGGCGUGCGAAACUUCACCUUCUUCUGCCUACAAAUGAGAACCAAGAGCAGAUCUGGAAAGGACAGAUAGGUUAAGAGCCAAAGCGCGAGUAGAAGGCAAAGCUUGGUAGAGGGCUUAAGCAAAAGCAGAGCAAAAAACAGAAUAUGAAGCAGAGUAGAGCGGGGCGCAGAAGGCAGAAGAGAGCAAAAUCAUAAGAGAACUCGGAGCGUAGAGGAAAAUAAGGCGAGUUUUAAGGAAGCUAGUGGAAGUAAAAGUUGAGAAUAAUAAAAGUGAAGCGGUAAGCUGAGUGGAGAAUCAGAUUCGAAGCAGAAGCAUGAUUACAAAUCUUAAGCAGGAAAGUAAGGGAGUUUGGUGAGAGAGAAGCAUAGAAAAGUAAUUACGUAAUGUAAUAUAUUUUUUUAGCUUNNNNN
rnacentral:lncRNA from 1 species